UGGCUCAGUGGUUAAGAGCACUGACUGCUCUUUCAGAAGACCUGGGUUCAAUUCCCAG
rfam:Cricetulus griseus cell line CHO-K1, whole genome shotgun sequence.